rnacentral:rRNA from 1 species
AAAAAAUCAUACAAAGGUAGUAAUUAACAAAAACCCAUAAAGCUUGGCAGUUAUAUUAACAUAGAGAAACUUGUUUUAUAAUCGACAACACUCGAUAAUUUUAACUCAAAUACAUAACUUAUAUACCGCCGUUAAAGAAACAAUAAAAAUAAAGCAUCACAAUUAAUUUCCUAAAAAAAUCAGGUCAAGGUAUAGUAAAUAUCUAAGUAAAAAUUAGUUACAAAUAAAACAAACUUAAGAAUAAUAUCAAAAAAAAAAUUGAAAAAGAAUCUACACACAAUUUAUAAAUUAAAAUAUUAUAAUGAAAUAAAAAAUAAUAAUGC